rnacentral:tRNA from 1 species
GGAAUUGUAGUCCAACUGGUAGAACGCUGAUCGCGACAGAAACGAGGGUUCGAGUCCUUCCGAUUCCUA